AUGCUGUGGCUGAUGAGAACACCGAGGAUCCAGAGCACUUGCCAUAAUUCUCCUGGCAGAAAAGUGAAAUAUAUCCAAAGCAGUACAGGGGAAAAAACCAGGAGUGUGUACAGGGCCAUGUGCCCUCCCUGCACCUAAAAUCACUAUUGUUCUACAAGUGACUGAUUGUGAACAUCCCUAACCUGGGAUCCUGGCUAGAGGAGUAGCCCUUAUUGGAGGCAAGCCGUCCUUAAGGAAAAAAUCAAG
rnacentral:lncRNA from 1 species